UAUUUUAUCAGACAGAAAAUGUUGUUGAUAAGUCAGUGGAUGAUUGCAGGAUAUUCCAUCAGUUAUCAGCAGUUGUACCACUGAUUUGUUAAUGAUAUCCAUCCUUCAACUAGACAUU
rnacentral:precursor_RNA from 9 species